GACGAACGCUGGCGGCGUGCUUAACACAUGCAAGUCGAGCGGUAAGGCCCUUUCGGGGGUACACGAGCGGCGAACGGGUGAGUAACACGUGGGUGACCUGCCCUCAGCUCUGGGAUAAGCCUGGGAAACCGGGUCUAAUACUGGAUAUGACUCCAUGACGCAUGUUGUGGGGUGGAAAGCCUUGUGCGGCUGAGGAUGGGCCCGCGGCCUAUCAGCUUGUUGGUGGGGUGANGGCCUACCAAGGCGACGACGGGUAGCCGGCCUGAGAGGGCGACCGGCCACACUGGGACUGAGACACGGCCCAGACUCCUACGGGAGCAGCAGUGGGGAAUCUUGCGCAAUGGGCGAAAGCCUGACGCAGCGACGCCGCGUGAGGGAUGACGGCCUGG
rnacentral:rRNA from 1 species